rnacentral:rRNA from 1 species
GACGAACGCUGGCGGCGUGCCUAAUACAUGCAAGUCGAACGCACUCUCGUUUAGAUUGAAGGAGUUUGCUCCUGAUUGAUAAACAUUUGAGUGAGUGGCGGACGGGUGAGUAACACGUGGGUAACCUGCCCUAAAGUGGGGGAUCACAUUUGGAAACAGAUGCUAAUACCGCAUAAAACCUAACACCGCAUGGUGUAGGGUUGAAAGAUGGUUUCGGCUAUCACUUUAGGAUGGACCCGCGGUGCAUUAGUUAGUUGGUGAGGUAAAGGCUCACCAAGACCGUGAUGCAUAGCCGACCUGAGAGGGUGAUCGGCCACACUGGGACUGAGACACGGCCCAGACUCCUACGGGAGGCAGCAGUAGGGAAUCUUCCACAAUGGACGAAAGUCUGAUGGAGCAACGCCGCGUGAGUGAAGAAGGUGUUCGGAUCGUAAAACUCUGUUGUUGGGGAAGAAUGUAUCUGAUAGUAACUGAUCAGGUAGUGACGGUAUCCAACCAGAAAGCCACGGCUAACUACGUG